AGCAAAGAUGGGUGGAGAUUCACCUCUUUGUGAACAAGUGCAUGAGAAAUUAGCCAAACUGUUAAAGGACAAUGUUCCUGAACAUACUGUACAAUUGCAAGGAGUUUAAGGAUUUCAUCAUCUACAGUUCACAAUACGAUGGAAAGGUUCAGAAAAUCCAGAUAAAUUACUGCAUGUAAGCGGCAAGGUUGAAAACCAACGUCGAAUGCCCAUGACCUUUGAUUCCACAGCUGGCUCUGCUUCGAAACCUGACAUCACUGUGUAAAGGAUAACACCACAGGGGCUCUAGAACAGUUCAGAAAACCAAUGUCACCAAAUAAAAUUUGGUGUUACAUCCUUAAAGGGCAGAUAAAGAGUUCAAUUCUCCACCAUUUUACUCGGUUAAAUUGUAUUGAAUGCAUAACUCGCUGUGUCAAAACUCAUAUUAGAAUUUUUUUUUUUUUUGACUUGAUCGUGUAGUUUUUUUAGUUACUGCCAUAGCAACACCUUAGCAACGAGGGACGCACUUCGCUGCCGGCCGCUACCUGAUGACGUACUUUAAAAAGACCUCGCCACCUCUCUAUUAUGGAAGUGUAGCACUAUGCUAUCCUCGCCAUAUAUCGCAAAGAUUUUUAAGGUUUUACUCACGAGAUUUAUCACGCCAUCUUAAUGUGGAGCGAUGAAUUGCUCCCAUGAAGGCUCCAGACUACCAGUGGACCGAAAUACCUUCUUCUGCAAGGAUUUGGACGUUUUGUGAGCGUCAAGCUCAAGAACUUCUCCCUGGCUUCCCGAGUGCUUCUUUGUUUUCAACAUUUCAGCGACGACAGCUUUGAAAGCCUAGGAGAAUACAACCUUGAUUUUUCAAAGACAUAAGUAGAUCUUUACUGGCUUUUCUCAUUCUAAAAUUUAAUGCAAUUUCUGUUGAUACAGGAGGGCAAAUCCUAUUGCCUGUUCGUUGAAGUGUGACUUUUUUUUCUUUUUUUUUUUUAUGUUCUUGCUGGCCUGUCAUCAGUAGAUAGGACAGCUGACAGGUCGUCUUUUCAUGCGAAUUUGAUACAUUUAUUACUAGAUCUAUAUAACUACUUGUCUGUUUUUGCAAUUACUGAUAAUUAUAAAACAGAAUGACUUGGGGAAGAGUGGCUCAGAGAGAAAGACAAAGAAAAACGAUGCUAGACAUGGGUUUACCACUCGUCAUUUCGUGAAGUGUCCAGCCGCCAAUCGGCGUCAUCAUCACCGUCGGCUGUGUCGAGUAAAUCCUCAUCAAUCUGACGCUUCAGGUUCAAACUUGUAAGGAUUAAUUGUAGAUAAUCUUUCCUGGGAACCCUCAUCAUCGCUGACGUCACGAAAAAGUGAUCCUGAACGGGUACUUUCGCUGGAAAUAUCACUAUCACUGGUGCUGCUAUGGAUAAAGUUAGUAAAUGACGUCACAUUUCCGGGUUUGGGAAGGCAGUAUUGACGGUGCGCUAAAAAAAAAAAAAAAAAAAAAAAAAAAACGCAAAUUCUUUUCACAGUUACGCAUUAGAAAUUACCUAGUCCUUUCAACGAACUCGUCCAAAGUUAAAAUCCGUUUAAUUACACUGAAAUCUGACAAACUCUUUAUCUGCCAUGUUAGGGCCUCCGCUUCUCCUUCCUGAGCCCUGCCUCAGGUGAGAGGAGUUUGCCUGAUUACAGGUCGAACGUCCGACGGGUGGAGCGGCCAGCUGUGAGCAAUCAUCAUCUGCCAGCUUAAAAGCCCAGCGGACGCACCACCACAUCGCCCGAUCAACCUGUCUGGUUUCCUCGACUUGAUCAGCGCACCCCUCCUCGGAUACCUCCGCUUACCAGUGAAUCGCCAACCCACCUCUUGCUAUCCACGUUGGCGUCUACGGUGCCUCCCCCGUAAUCAAUCCUGCUCAAUAAACUUGGCAACUCUCA